GCGACCCCAUGUCAGGCGGGAUUACCCGCUGAGUUUAA
rnacentral:rRNA from 2 species